GGACUGGCAGCAGGACCUUCAGGUGGAUGGGUAGCAGGACCAUCAGGUUGACUGAUAGCAGGACCUUCAGUUGGACUGGCAGCAGGACCUUCAGGGGGACUGGCAGCAAGACCUUUAGAAGGAUGGGUAGCAGGACCUUCAGGUGGAUGGGUAGCAGGACUUUCAGGUGGACUGGCAGUAGGACCUUCAGGUACAUUGGUAGCAGGACCUUCAGGUGGAUGGGUAGCAGGACUUUCAGGUGGACUGGCAGUAGGACCUUCAGGUACAUUGGUAGCAGGACCUUCAGGUGGAUGGGUAGCAGGACUUUCAGGUGGACUGGCAGUAGGACCUUCAGGUACAUUGGUAGCAGGACCUUCAGGUGGAUGGGUAGCAGGACUUUCAGGUGGACUGGCAGUAGGACCUUCAGGUACAUUGGUAGCAGGACCUUCAGGUGGACUGGCAGCAGGACCUUCAG